GCUUUGGCUAACAGGGCAGAAGCAAUGCAACCACCUUACUCACAAUAAAAUGGCUGCAGAUGAUGGAACAUUGUAUUGUGAAAAGCAGCAAAUACAAAAAUAAUUCUUGAAAUAACUCAGCAGAAGGUGCUGGUACAAAGUCAGCUGAGGCCAAUGUAAGAGCAAUAUGAUGGGAGGCACAGAAUGGAUACCUCACAUUGUGAUGGUAUGGGAUGUCAUGGGUUCCACUUCUGGCUUAGCUGCACCCGUCCUUUGUGAUCUCAAUCUGGUUGUGUCUCUUGUGACUUGGAGCCACAUCUUUCUCCUGGACUAACUCUGCUGACUUUAAAAAAAAAAAAAAAAGAAAAAAAAGAAAAACAAACCAGCAGCUUCUCUAAAAAAGGAC